rnacentral:rRNA from 1 species
GUGGAUUAGAUACCCUGGUAGUCCACGCUGUAAACGGUGGGUACUAGGUGUGGGUUCCUUUUCACGGGAUCCGUGCCGUAGCUAACGCAUUAAGUACCCCGCCUGGGGAGUACGGCCGCAAGGCUAAAACUCAAAGGAAUUGACGGGGGCCCGCACAAGCGGCGGAGCAUGUGGAUUAAUUCGAUGCAACGCGAAGAACCUUACCUGGGUUUGACAUACACCAGAAAGCCAUAGAGAUAUGGCCCCCCUUGUGGUUGGUGUACAGGUGGUGCACGGCCGUCGACAGCU